AGGGGGCUGUGCUUUGGAAGAAGGAGGUCUAUGAUCAGGACCACUUAGCAACUUUGUGGAUCAAGUUUUUCAAUUUCUCUGAACCUAGCAUUUCUCAGAUGUAAACUAGAGAUGGCAAUGUCUGCUUCACAGGAUUAUUGUGAAAGUAAAAUGAGACCAAAUACAUGAACUCAUCUAGCACUUGCCUAGAAGACAAGACUAUUAUAAAGCUUCUUUAAAAAUAAUUUACUGUUGUUAUUCAGUCUAGAAAGCCCUGAAUAAUUCAAUUUUCCUAAGACUUUAUCUGCUGAUGAUCUAGCACGUUUGGAGUUUUUUUUUUUUUUUUUUAGUGAGCUUACAGUUCACUGGGCCAAACACUGAAGGAUGGUAGGAUGAUGAGGUGUGAGAAAGGUAACUGAAUUUUGCAAUUACCGAUGGCUUUCAAGAGAGCAAUUUUUUAGAGUGGUGAGGGUGGAGGUCUGAAGGCAGGAAUGCUUGUAUCACAAGGAAUUCCUUUAAGAUGCUGGGUGGAAAAGGAGAGAAAAUGGAGCUAUGGCAGAAGGCUGAAGACUUAGAAAAGGGAAUUAUUUCGCCCCCCCCAGAAGAUGACAUCCUUAAGUUUCUUGAAGGUCAGCAAGAAUUAAGAGGAAGACAGUGGAAAGGCUACAGGUUUAAUCAGAUCUGUUUCCAGUUCCAGUUCAGUCCCCAAAUUACAGUGUGAUCGUGGGCAUGAUCCUUAACUUCUUCAAGUCCCUGUGGAACUUAUACCUCCCCCAUCCUCCUUGUGACUUUAGGUUGAAGAUUAUUUGAAAUUAAGCCUGUAAAAACAUUUUAAAAAUUACAGAGGAUGUUAUCGUACUAAAUAAAUAUAAAACAAUCCUUUCAGAAGAUGGUCUCUCCUUGUUCAAGAUGCUUAUUACCUUUAUGGCUGCUGCUAUGGAAAUUUUGUCUAUUUAUGAAGUAUAGGUCUGGCUCUUGGAGAAGUGUUU
rnacentral:lncRNA from 1 species